CAGUGGAANUGGUCAUGAUACGUAGCACAAGUGCGUCUUCAUAACAGUGGAAAUUUCACCGCCACAUCGUAACAUCAUUUUUGAGCUGAGCGUCAAUGUAUAUUUCUGUGAAGCUAGUGAAUUUGUUGUCAUUCAGGCCAUAUUCUGGGGAAUAAUAUACCAUGGGAAGUUGCUGGUUGUGGUAGGCCUGUGUCAUCCUG